GGUCCUAAAAUCUACUACUGUCCUCCCCUUCCCUAUGGAUGUAGUUCUUAAUGAGUGCUUCAAAAUGGAGCUUGUUCUACUUGGCAUGGAAUAUGUCACCUGUGGAGAUUUCCACCAACUCCUGCGGAGGAAGGGGCGUCUUGACAUCCCCAGUGCAAGAUUCUACGCCGCAGAACUUGUGUGUGGAAUUCAAUAUCUGCAUUCUAAG